rnacentral:tRNA from 1 species
AAUACUUUAAUUUAAAAUAAAAUAUGAAUUUGCAAAAUUCAAAAUCUAAUGAUAGAAGUAUUU